AAUAGAUACCCAGGUAGUCCACGCCGUAAACGGUGGGCGCUAGGUGUGGGGAACAUUCCACGUUCUCCGUGCCGCAGCUAACGCAUUAAGCGCCCCGCCUGGGGAGUACGGCCGCAAGGCUAAAACUCAAAGGAAUUGACGGGGGGCCCGCACAAGCGGCGGAGCAUGCGGCUUAAUUCGAUGCAGCGCGAAGAACCUUACCUAGGCUUGACAGUUGGGGAAAUCUGGCAGAGACGUCAGGUCCGCAAGGGCCCCAAAACAGGUGGUGCAUGGCUGUCGUCAGCUCGUGUCGUGAGAUGUUGGGUUAAGUCCCGCAACGAGCGCAACCCUCGUCGUAUGUUGCCAGCGGAUAAUGCCGGGGACUCAUACGAGACUGCCGGGGUCAACUCGGAGGAAGGUGGGGAUGACGUCAAGUCAUCAUGCCCCUUAUGUCUAGGGCUGCACGCAUGCUACAAUGGCCGGUACAAAGGGCUGCGAUACCGCAAGGUGGAGCGAAUCCCCAAAAAGCCGGUCUCAGUUCGGAUUGGGGU
rnacentral:rRNA from 1 species